ACGAAGAUUAAAAUGUCUAAAAUAGACCCGCUUCAUUAUCGCACAGGCUGACAAAGAUUGUUCUAAACACAUCGUACGGAUUUUACUAUCAAUUGAAUCCCAAAAGAAACCAUCUUUUAAAAAGAGACUUUUCCAAAGUUCUUCGUUGGACGAUACCAACUUAUACCAGUGAUGCGAAACUUGCGAAACUGCACACAAUGAAGGUGCAUCUAAAUGCGUAAGCACUAAAUUUGUAAUCUCAGCCGGAAAUCCAGUUAAAAA